CCCUUAGAUGUCCUGGGCCGCACGCGCGUUACACUGAUGCAUUCAACGAGCUUAUAACCUUGACCGAGAGGCCUGGGCAAUCUUGUUAACGUGCAUCGUGAUAGGGAUAGAUUAUUGAAAUUAUUAAUCUUGAACGAGGAAUUCCUAGUAAACGCAGAUCAUCAAUCUGCAUUGAUUACGUCCCUGCCCUUUGUACACACCGCCCGUCGCACCUACCGAUUGGAUGGUCCGGUGAAGCCUCGGGAUUGUGGUUCUUGCCGCUUUAUUGUGGCGUGACCGCGAGAACUUGUCUAAACCUUAUCAUCUAGAGGGAGGUGAAGUCGUAACA
rnacentral:rRNA from 1 species